AAUACUUUCCGAAUGCAUGGUAUAUUUAGGGUUUUACACUGCAAGGGAAAAUAAGUCUGGUUAUAUUUUUAUGACAGAUGUUUUUUGCUGAUUUCACAUGAUUCAGAAAUCGUGUCUUAUUUUUCAAGGUAACUGUUCUUCUGAAAGACUCCCUGUUUGUUUGUCUGUCCGUCCAUCUGUCCACCUGCACAUCUGCCUACCUGCCUGUUUGGACCCACAACUCUGCCUGGCUGGCUAUGGCCCCACCACUCUGCCUCUCUGCCCGCCUGCCCGUCUCCCUAUGUGACUGGGGAGUGUUAUACUCUUGUUGGAGGCCUGCCUUGGCCUAUAGUACCAAGGAUCUGUCAUGUCUUUUGGCUGGCCAACCCCUCUUCCUGUGUCAUCGAGAGCCAACCGGCGUGCACGGUGAGGCGCAUCCUGAAUGUUCGACUGUGGGGCAGGUGAUUCCAGUACCUGGUUGACUGGGAAUGUUAUGGCCCGGAGGAGAGGUGAUGGGUCCAACGCCGUCACUCCGGUCAACCAGGUUGUUUUGUUUUGUCAAGCCUACCAGUGGGUUUCCCAUGUUCCUGUCUUUCUCCAGUUCCUGUUUUCUAGUUUUGAUCAUUCUGCCUGCCCUGACCCUGAGCCUGCCGUUCCGUAACUAGUCACACCACCCUGGAUUACUGACCUCUGCCUGCCGGCCAUGCUGUACCUUUCGGACUGUGCUCUGGACUACUGACCUCUGCCUGCCCUUGACCUGUCAUUUGCCUGCCCCCCUGUUUCUGUAAUAAACUUUUGUUACUUCGAAACUGUCUGCAUCUGGGUCUUCUCCAGAGCCUUGAUAACAUCUUUGAAAACAGAUGUUUUUCUUUUAGUUUUUUUACCCAAACUGUGAUUUAUGUUUUCUCACUGAAAAGUGUUGAUUGUUCUCUUGGCCAUCAUCAGAGCUUUUAAACUAAAUUAAACAUUUUUGAUUUCUGAAUGUGUCGGCACCAUGGACUCGGCUGUGGCUGCGUUAUUGAUGUCAUGUUUAUCAGGCCUUUUGAUUUGAACAUAUGUAUUGUUUUAGUUUAAGUAUUUAAUUUAUGGAUCAAGUCUUAGCAGUCAUUCUGAUCUCGUUCCCAAUGAUCUUUGUGUUUGUUUAUUAUGUUGCUGUCCAGCGGUUUUGAAUGUGCAAUUCUCACUACUGUCACCAUUUUUCUAUGCAAUAUACUUUUGAUUUGAGCAUUUGAAAAGUUUUGGUAUGUGUACUUGGCUAUUUGAUUUAAUUGUAUAGAUGUUACAACACUUUGGUUUCACUA